rnacentral:rRNA from 1 species
UACGAAGGGGGGCUAGCGUUGCUCGGAUUGACUGGGCGUAAAGGGCGCGUAGGCGGUUCGUACAGUCAGACGUGAAAUUCCUGGGCUCAACCUGGGGGCUGCGUUUGAUACGUGCGGACUUGAGUGCGGAAGAGGGUCGUGGAAUUCCCAGUGUAGAGGUGCAAUUCGUAGAUAUUGGGAAGAACACCGGUGGCGAAGGCGGCGACCUGGUCCGAUACUGACGCUGAGGCGCGAAAGCGUGGGGAGCAAACAGG